CCUACGGGUGGCAGCAGUGGGGAAUAUUGGACAAUGGGCGAAAGCCUGAUCCAGCCAUGCCGCGUGUGUGAAGAAGGCCUUCGGGUUGUAAAGCACUUUCAGUGGGGAAGAAAGCCUUGGGGCUAAUACCCUCGAGGAAGGACAUCACCCACAGAAGAAGCACCGGCUAACUCCGUGCCAGCAGCCGCGGUAAUACGGAGGGUGCGAGCGUUAAUCGGAAUUACUGGGCGUAAAGCGCGCGUAGGCGGUCUGAUAAGCCGGUUGUGAAAGCCCCGGGCUCAACCUGGGAACGGCAUCCGGAACUGUCAGGCUAGAGUGCAGGAGAGGAAGGUAGAAUUCCCGGUGUAGCGGUGAAAUACGUAGAGAUCGGGAGGAAUACCAGUGGCGAAGGCGGCCUUCUGGACUGACACUGACGCUGAGGUGCGAAAGCGUGGGUAGCAAACAGGAUUAGAUACCCUUGUAGUC
rnacentral:rRNA from 1 species